AGGCAGGAUCUGGUUCCAGUGUAGCGGCGCAGUGCUACACUGUCUGUGCUUCCUGCUCUAAAUAAAACUGUCACCUUCCUGGCCCUGCCUGCUGGAACCCAAGCAGCAGGGAUGCUUGGUCUCAUACAG
rnacentral:snoRNA from 1 species